rnacentral:snRNA from 1 species
GGGCUCGAUUCAGCAGCACAUAUACUAAAAUUGGAACAAUACAGAGAAGAUUAGCACGGCCCCUGUACAAGGCUGACAUGCAAAUUCGUGAAGCAUUCCAUAUUUUU